ensembl:lncRNA
CUGAAGUAUAAACUGUUUGUAUCUUUUUGGCAUAUUUUUUCAUACUUACCGAAAUCUCAAAUAAUUGACAUCUCAUGAGGAAGUUUCUUUUCAAGAUGUUUUUUCGCUUGUUUCAUAAACAAAAGUGCUUGUGACCAAGAGAUUGGGAAGUUCAGGAGGUCAGAGGUUCAUGUGGAUAAUAAGAACAAUGAGAACUAUACUCCAGGCUAAAAGAAAUGCUGGAUAUGUGGUUAAAUAGCAUGUUCAAUGCUUAAACUGAUUUAGAGAUAAGGAUGUAUGGCAUAUGUUGGCUCACCUAAGCCAUCUACUGAGAUUUUUUACUUUUCUUUGGUUUUUAUUAGUCCCAAAGUCAAACAGAUUGAACAACAGGUCUUCACCUGUAACAGUGAACCUAAAUUCCCGCUUAUUCACUGGAAGAAGUCAGAGUUUUGUGUUUUGGAUCAGUUUGAAUCUCCAGGGUGAAAGAAGUAUCCAGAAGAGUGCCAGUAAUACUCUUAAUAGUGUUAACAGUGUGUUACUAAAUGGCAUCUUGUGCACUGCAGAGAAACCUUUCUAUCAGCACUAACUCAGAUUCUCUGAAGCAUUUUGAUCUGGGCAGUUGUUAGUAGUAUAUUUUCUUCCACUGAUUAUAGUACAACAAUAGUAUAGCUAUAACCUAUGGUCCUCUCAUCAAUGAUAAUAUCACAGGAGUCAUGAGAGGAUUUUGGAGUAGUUGGUGUGUGCUGGCAAAGAUCACAGUUUGUCCAUGAAAACUCACUAGCAUAGUGGAAAUGCCAAGUUCUUUUUUUGUGCAACUGAAUUUUGCAUUUCAACAUACGUGUCCUAGGAACCUCCUGCAAGUGACUCAGCCUUAGUUCUUCUAUAUGGCUAUCCAUCCCUCAGACUGUUUUCCUUGGCCUGAUUACAGAGAGGAAGAAAUCACAUUUGCAUAUGAAGAGUAUCCUCAUCUUAUUUAUUUAUUUUUUCUCCUCUUAUAUUCUGUGCAUAAACAUCCAUCCUUCUGUGUCGUUGAUUAUUAGUAACAAGACACUUUUUUAAAAACUUCUGUGCAUGCUUCAGCCAGUGUUUUCAUUCCCAUUUUUUCCUAUUCAGAGGCAGUCUCUGCUUACUGUACAUCUACCUUGUUUAUUCUAUUUCCACUUCUCUUUGACGUUGUGAAGAGAUUGAUCAAGGCAAACACCUCCGUUCCCCUCAUCAGAUGUUAAGAUGCAAUGUCUUUUCUUAUUAAGCAGUUGAGGAGGCUUGUGUAGCUGGUUUCUUCUUAUGUGAAUCAGUAUCUCUUUAUUCCUUUGUGAUUUAUUGCUUCUGGAAAUUAGGAGAGAAAUGGGUCUUAAUGUGAUGGGCUUGGAAAAGAGACUAGCAAAACCUGUCAUUGCACAAUUCAGGUAUAAGAAAGCUGCUGUUAUAUCCCUCCAAAGCCUCCUCUUCUCUAGUCUGGACAAUUCUGCAUUAGUUAGCCUUUCCUCUUACGGUAGGUACUCUAACCCCUGGACCAUUUUGCUGGCCCUUUGCUGGACACAUUCCAACUGUGAAUAAGUUCAUGAUCUUUGGAAACACAGCAAAGAUCUCCAAAACACGGAGCAUUCUCUUGUGUCCAGUAAGGUGGGUUGACUGCAGAAAUCUGAUCCCAGACUGUUACCAUUCAAGUAAGGCCACACCAAAUACCUAUAAUUACUUAUUUCCUGUAUAUGUACAGAACAACUUAAUAUCAGACAUCACAGUGGUAUUUUUUGUUUGCAAAAUAUCAAGUGGUCCAUUUGCAGCAAAAUAUUUGCACAUAGAACCAUAGAACAUCCCAAAUUGGAAAGGACCAACAAGGAUCUUCAAGUUCAACUUCUGUCUUCACACCGGACUGCCCAAAAUUCAAACCCCGUGUCUGGGAUCAUUGUCCAAGUGCUUCUUGAUCCCUGGCAGCUUGGGAUUGUGCACCCUGCCCUGGGCAGCCUGUUGCAUGCCCACACACCUCUGGUUCAGAACCUUUCCCUAACCCACACUUGACUCUCCCCCAACACAGCUCCAUGUCAUUCCCUUGGGUCCAGUUGCUGCCACCAGAGAGCAGAGCUCAUCUCCCCUCCCCUUGUGAGAAGCUGCAGGCAGCCAUGAGGCCUCAUCUGCUCUGGGCUGAACAAGCCAAAGGACCUCAGUUAGUUCUUGCAUAUCUUGCCUUCUAGACCCUUUACCAUCCUUGUAACACUUCUUGGAAUGCACUCUUUUAUGCAGUGCUCAAAACUGCACUCAGUGCUUGAGGUGAGGCUGCGCAGUGCAGAGCAGGGUGGGACAAUCCCUCUUCCUGCCCAGCCUGAUGCACCUCAGUGUAUGGUUGGCCCUAAGUACUAUCUGAAUAUCAACUUUCUUGCACCUCUGGUAAACAAACAAACAAAAAAAUCACCUUUAAAGUCCUAAGCAAUGUGUCUAAAAAUGGUAAAUUGCAGGAAGACUUCUG